rnacentral:rRNA from 3 species
UGGAGUCUGCAACUCGACUCCAUGAAGUCGGAAUCGCUAGUAAUCGUAGAUCAGAAUGCUACGGUGAAUACGUUCCCGGGCCUUGUACACACCGCCCGUCACACCAUGGGAGUGGGUUGCAAAAGAAGUAGGUAGCUUAACCUUCGGGAGGGCGCUUACCACUUUGUGAUUCAUGACUGGGGUGAAGUCGUAACAAGGUAACCGUAGGGGAACCUGCGGUUGGAUCACCUCCUUACCUUAAAGAA